rnacentral:rRNA from 1 species
GUCGAGCGGAUGACAGAGGAGCUUGCUCCUCUAGAUUCAGCGGCGGACGGGUGAGUAACACGUGGGCAACCUGCCCUGUAGAUUGGGAUAACUCCGGGAAACCGGGGCUAAUACCGGAUAAUCCUUCGGACCCCAUGGUCCGAUGUUGAAAGGCGGCAUCUCGCUGUCACUACAGGAUGGGCCCGCGGCGCAUUAGCUAGUUGGUGAGGUAACGGCUCACCAAGGCCACGAUGCGUAGCCGACCUGAGAGGGUGAUCGGCCACACUGGGACUGAGACACGGCCCAGACUCCUACGGGAGGCAGCAGUAGGGAAUCUUCCACAAUGGACGAAAGUCUGAUGGAGCAACGCCGCGUGAGUGAAGAAGGUUCUCGGAUCGUAAAACUCUGUUGUGAGGGAAGAACAAGUACCGGAGUAACUGCCGGUACCUUGACGGUACCUCAUUAGAAAGCCACGGCUAACUACGUGCCAGCAGCCGCGGUAAUAC